AUUGGCUGGAGACAAACGUAAUUAGGAAGAUGGAGUCUCACUCUGUUGCCAGGCUGGAGUGCAGGGGCACAAUCUCGGCUCACUGCAAUCUCCACCUCCCGGGUUCGAGUGAUUCUCCUGCCUCAGCCUCCCGAGUAGCUGGGACUACAGGUUGUUGGCUUCUUUAGCACCCAGUGGGACACAUGAGGCAAAGAGAAAAUUCAAAGACCUUCCUGCUGAGUCAUUCCUUGGGUCCUGAAGUCCCCAGCCAGUUUGUCUUCUUCUCACCACCUUUCAGAGUCUUGUUUGUUUUAUAAAUAAUUAUCAGGGUUUUUAGCUAUACUUAGCGGGAAGAUCAGUGUAAAGCACACCUACUCUAUCUUUCUGGAAGCAGAAGUCCAGUCUCAUGUACUAAGACAAUGGAAGAAAGAACAACAACAACAAAAUCA
ensembl:lncRNA